rnacentral:lncRNA from 1 species
GAAAUGAAGAAUGGUAUAAUUAUAGUAGUAAUGAUAUUAUCAUCUAUAGAAUAAAUAAUUUAUUUCUGAUCAGGGUGAGGGCAGGGGUUAAGGGCGGAGAGUACACUGCCAGCAACUGUCCGUGAAGUGGAACAGGGACAAUUUAAUUUUUGCUUCUCUCUCCAUCCUCACCAAAACGGAGGAAACUCCACCUUAUUUGAAGUAUUUCUGUACGAGUCUUCUGUUAAAUGGUAAAAAUGUCAUCCUUAGUAGUUUGGGUGUAUGAAACUAUCAGUGUCAGAAAAUGAAAUUGAGUUUAGGAUUGGUUCAUACAUUAUUUCAAAAAAAAAAAAAAAAAAAACCAAUUGGUUCGUACAAGGUAACAGCACGUUAUGAUCAUGACCCAUGAUUUUUAAGAUUUCAAAAUCAUGUUCUGUUCUUCUGCGGGUUUUCCCGACGUUUCAUUUUUGUGCUAUAGAUGUCUCUUUCUUUCACAUUUAUUUUAAUGGUACAUAGGUGUGUUGGAGGCAGAAGUCCUUGAUAUGCUUUUAUUAUUACAGGUACUUUUGCUCGCAGGCUGGCACAAGAAUUUCCAACCUGGCAGGUAAUGUGUGAUGAGUUCUUGCUCGAUUUGGUAUCUGCUGACGUAGGAAUGAGUCACAUGUUUUCUUAUAACUAAAACAACACAUACUUGGCUCUGGUGGUCUUCUGCUAACUAACUAGACCCCUCACUUACUCUAAGUUCAAAGGGAAGAAAGGUGAAGGAUUUGCAUUGCCAUGGUUUAUUGGUGGGUAAUGCUUGGAAAUUAAGAUUUCAGGAUCCAGUAUUAUAGAGAUAGUGUGUCUGAUUUAUAAAGCAAAGAUUGUUUUUAUCCGUGUUGGACUUGUCACUAUGGGUGCUUGUUGUGGUAUGGUAAUAACUACAUUAAGUGGAUGGUUACUGAAUUACCAAUUUUUUUUACAUACUUCAAUAAUAGCUUUUGUAAAAGCAUCACUAAAAACUUUAAAAUGUUAUCAGUUUCUCAGUUCUUAUCUGGUGCUUUUGGCUCUUAUACGGUCUACUUUGAACUUUUGGCUUGGGAAGGUUUGAGCAGUAACAAAGCAUUUAGACUGAUUUCUCUUACCAUAUUCUGGGUCAUUUUGAAGGAGAGAAACAAUAG